rnacentral:rRNA from 1 species
GACGAACGCUGGCGGCGUGCUUAACACAUGCAAGUCGAACGGAAAGGCCCUGCUUUUGUGGGGUGCUCGAGUGGCGAACGGGUGAGUAACACGUGAGUAACCUGCCCUUGACUUUGGGAUAACUUCAGGAAACUGGGGCUAAUACCGGAUAGGAGCUCCUGCUGCAUGGUGGGGGUUGGAAAGUUUCGGCGGUUGGGGAUGGACUCGCGGCUUAUCAGCUUGUUGGUGGGGUAGUGGCUUACCAAGGCUUUGACGGGUAGCCGGCCUGAGAGGGUGACCGGCCACAUUGUGACUGAGAUACGGCCCAGACUCCUACGGGAGGCAGCAGUGGGGAAUAUUGCACAAUGGGCGGAAGCCUGAUGCAGCAACGCCGCGUGCGGGAUGACGGCCUUCGGGUUGUAAACCGCUUUCGCCUGUGACGAAGCGUGAGUGACGGUAAUGGGUAAAGAAGCACCGGCUAACUACGU